CGCGUAGGCCGUUGAGUUAGUUAAUUGUGAAAUCCCAAAAGCUUAACUUUGGAACUGCAAUUAAAACUGCUCGACUAGAGUUUGAUAGAGGAAAGCGGAAUACAUAGUGUAGAGGUGAAAUUCGUAGAUAUUAUGUAGAACACCAGUUGCGAAGGCGGCUUUCUGGAUCAACACUGACGCUGAGGCGCGAAAGUAUGGGUAGCAAAGA
rnacentral:rRNA from 1 species